rnacentral:rRNA from 1 species
AAAGGAAUAGACGGGGACCCGCACAAGCAGCGGAGCAUGUGGUUUAAUUCGAUGCAACGCGAAGAACCUUACCAGGGCUUGACAUCCCUCGGACCGUCUUAGAGAUAAGACCUUCUCUUCGGAGACUGAGGGACAGGUGGUGCAUGGUUGUCGUCAGCUCGUGUCGUGAGAUGUUGGGUUAAGUCCCGCAACGAGCGCAACCCUUGCCUUUAGUUGCCAACAGUACGGCUGUGCACUCUAGAGGGACUGCCGAUGAUAAAUCGGAGGAAGGUGGGGAUGACGUCAAAUCAUCAUGCCCUUUAUGUCCUGGGCUACACACGUGCUACAAUGGUCGGUACAACGGGUAGCCACUUAGCGAUAAGGAGCCAAUCCCUUAAAACCGAUCCCAGUUCGGAUUGCAGGCUGCAACUCGCCUGCAUGAAGCCGGAGUUGCUAGUAAUCGUGGAUCAGAAUGCCACGGUGAAUGCGUUCCCGGGUCUUGUACACACCGCCCGU